rnacentral:rRNA from 1 species
UACGUAGGGUGCGAGCGUUAAUCGGAAUUACUGGGCGUAAAGUGUGCGCAGGCGGCAGAGCAAGUCGAGUGUGAAAGCCCCGGGCUUAACUUGGGAAUUGCGCUCGAAACUACUUUGCUGGAGUGUGGCAGAGGAAGGUGGAAUUCCACGUGUAGCGGUGAAAUGCGCAGAUAUCAGGAGGAACACCGAUGGCGAAGGCAGGUCUCUGGGCCACUACUGACGCUGAGAAGCGAAAGCAUGGGGAGCGAACAGG